CCUGACCACCUUGGCAGCCAGUACAUAAACCAAAAGGGGUACUUUUCAAUGGUGGUACAAGCACUGGUGGAUCACAAGGGACGUUUCACCAACAUCAACCUGGGAUGGCCGGGAAAAGAGCAUGACGCUCGCAACUUCAGGAACUCUGGUGUGCAUAGAGAUGGGGAGUACUUGUGGCACCUUAGAGACUAAC